GUGCUCAAUUCAACAUCACCUGUACUAAAUCUGGAAUGAGACAGAGAAAAUUAGCACAGCUCCUAUGCCAGGAUAUCAUACACAUUUGUGAAACAUUCAUAUUUCUU
ensembl:snRNA U6 U6 spliceosomal RNA